ACGGGGCGCAGCAGGCGCGAAACUUGUGCAAUGCGCGAAAGCGCGACACAGGAAACCUGAGUGCCUUGACAAUGUCAAGGCUUUUCUUAAGCUUAAAAAGCUCAAGGAAUAUGAGCUGGGUAAGACGGGUGCCAGCCGCCGCGGUAACACCCGCAGCUCAAGUGGUGGUCAUGAUUAUUGAGUCUAAAGCGUUCGUAGCCGGUUACGUAAAUCUUUAGAUAAAUCCUUCCGCUCAACGGAAGGACUUCUGAAGAGACUGCGAAGCUAGGGAAUGGGUGAGGUUGAAUGUACUUCUGGGGUAGGGGUAAAAUCCUGUAAUCCUGGAAGGACAACCAGUGGCGAAGGCGUUCAACUAGAACAUGUCCGACGGUGAGGAACGAAGGCUAAGGGAGCAAACCGGAUUAGAUACCCGGGUAGUCUUAGCUGUAAACACUGCCCACUUGGUGUUGCCUCUCCGUUGAGGGGGGGCAGUGCCGGAGCGAAGGUGUUAAGUGGGCCACUUGGGGAGUAUGGUCGCAAGGCUGAAACUUAAAGGAAUUGGCGGGGGAGCACCGCAACGGGAGGAGCGUGCGGUUUAAUUGGAUUCAACGCCGGAAAACUCACCGGGAGCGACCUUUGGAUGAGAGUCAACCUGACGAAUUUACUCGAUAGAAGGAGAGGUGGUGCAUGGCCGUCGUCAGCUCGUACCGUAGGGCGUUCACUUAAGUGUGAUAACGAGCGAGACCCCCAUCUCUAAUUGCCAUCUUGCCUUAGCGGGCAAAGGCACUUUAGGGGGACCGCCAGCGCUAAGCUGGAGGAAGGAGGGGUCGACGGCAGGUCAGUACGCCCCGAAUCUCCCGGGCAACACGCGCGCUACAAAGGGCAGGACAAUGAGUUGCCACCUCGAAAGGGGGAGCUAACCUCGAAACCUGUUCGUAGUUAGGAUUGAGGGCUGUAACUCGCCCUCAUGAAUGUGGAUUCCGUAGUAAUCGCGGGUCAACAGCCCGCGGUGAAUAUGCCCCUGCUCCUUGCACACACCGCCCGUCAAACCAUCCGAGCUGGUGCUGGAUGAGGGUAUGCUCUUAAGGGCAAACUCAAAUCUGAUGUCGGUGAGGAGGGUUAAGUCGUAACAAGGUAGCCGU
rnacentral:rRNA from 1 species